CCUACGGGAGGCUGCAGUGGGGAAUAUUGCACAAUGGGGGAAACCCUGAUGCAGCAACGCCGCGUGAGUGAUGAAGUAUUUCGGUAUGUAAAGCUCUAUCAGUAGGGAAGAUAAUGACGGUACCUGAUUAAUAAGCCCCGGCUAACUCCGUGCCAGCAGCCGCGGUAAUACGGAGGGGGCCAGCGUUAUCCGGAUUUACUGGGUGUAAAGGGAGCGUAGGCGGGAGUGCAAGUCUGAAGUGAAAGCCUGUGGCUCAACCCCGGAACUGCACUUGAAACUGUUCGGCUAGAGUACGGGAGGGGCAGGCGGAAUUCAUGGUGUAGCGGUGAAAUGCGUAGAUAUUAGGAGGAACACCCAUGGCGAAGGCGGCCUGCUAGACCAUAACUGACGUUGAGGCGCGAAAGCGUGGGGAGCAAACAGGAUUAGAUACCCGAGUAGUC
rnacentral:rRNA from 1 species